GACGAACGCUGGCGGCGCGCUUAACACAUGCAAGUCGAACGGAAAGGCCUGCUUUCCCUUGUGGAUUGCGGGUACUCGAGUGGCGAACGGGUGAGUAACACGUGAGUGAUCUGCCCCCAACUUGGGUAUAAGCCUGGGAAACUGGGUCUAAUUCCCGAUAGGACUGCAGGGUGGUGCCUGUGGUGGAAAACUAUUUUCUAGUGGUUGGGGAUGAGCUCGCGGCCUAUCAGCUUGUUGGUGGGGUAAUGGCCUACCAAGGCGGCGACGGGUAGCCGGCCUGGGAGGGUGGACGGCGACAUUGGGACUGGGAUACGGCCCAGACUCCUACGGGAGGCAGCAGUGGGGAAUAAUGCACAAUGGGCGGAAGCCUGAUGCAGCGACGGCGCGUGGGGGAUGACGGCCUUCGGGUUGUAAACUCCUUUCGACCGCGAGGAAGCCACCUGGUUGGAAGGGUGGUGACGGUAGUGGAAGAAGAAGCACCGGCUAACUACGUG
rnacentral:rRNA from 1 species